rnacentral:rRNA from 1 species
CAAUAGCGUAUAUUUAAGUUGUUGCAGUUAAAAAGCUCGUAGUUGGAUUUCGGUUGAGAGCGGCCGGUCCGCCGUUUGGUGUGCACUGGCUGGUUUCAACUUCCUGUAGAGGACGCGCUUUGGGCUUAACGGUCUGAACGUGGAGUCUACGUGGUUACUUUGAAAAAAUUAGAGUGUUCAAAGCGGGCUUACGCUUGAAUAUUUCAGCAUGGAAUAACACUAUAGGACUCCUGUCCUAUUUCGUUGGUCUCGGGACGGGAGUAAUGAUUAAUAGGGAUAGUUGGGGGUAUUUAUAUUCCGAUGUCAGAGGUGAAAUUCUUAGAUUUUCGGAAGAUAAACUUAUGCGAAAGCAUUUACCAAGGAUGUUUUCAUUA